AUGGGAAUUCAGUUGCACCAUAUGGCCAUGUUGUGUUAAGCUCACCACUAGAUCACAGUACCCCAAUAUCGGUGGGUCCUACUCUAAUGUUAACUCUAAUGUUAACAUUGGAAAUUAACAUGAUAAAUGCAAGAAAUACUUACUUUUGUACAUAUUGUGGUCUUUACGGCAGCACUACUACUGCAUGUUCUGGGUAAUUCUCAAAUUCCCCUUUUUCCUAGGUUUCCU